UACGUAGGGACCAAGCGUUGUCCGGAAUCAUUGGGCGUAAAGAGCGUGUAGGCGGCUUGUUAAGUCUUGCGUGAAAUCUCGGGGCUCAACCCCGAGCGGUCGUGAGAAACUGGCAGGCUAGAGUGCGGGAGAGGAGGAGUGGAAUUCCUGGUGUAGCGGUGAAAUGCGCAGAUAUCAGGAAGAACACCCGUGGCGAAGGCGGCUCUCUGGAACGCAACUGACGCUGAGACGCGAAAGCGUGGGGAGCAAACAGG
rnacentral:rRNA from 1 species